CUGGGGGAUGGGCCUGGUGUAGUGAUUCUCAAGUGUCUUUGCCCCAGGUGGAAUUGCCCCGCCCUUACCAGGGGCUGAGUAAUCAGCUCGAGUUUGCUUUCAGGAGCUUUUGUUCCCUGAGCACUUUCUGUAGAGUCCUGGAGGAUGGGAAUACAAAUGGCAGCCUCUUGGUCUCUGGCCCGGAGGAGCCGAGAGCCUGGGUCCCCACUCCUCAGUGCGCCCUCAGAGAACAGCGCCGAGUAACUCCCGUCUGCCUGACCUCUGGCCGCGCUCCAAGUUCAGCGAGCCUGAGACCGAUUCAAGUUCCCCACUGAUGACUGGGUCAGAAGCAGAUGACCCUCCUUCUGACCUAUCAUCAGAAAGUCAGGGGGUGCCUGGCUGGCUCAGUCCAUGGAGCAUGCAACUCUGGAUCUUGGGGUUAUGAGGUCGAGCACCACAUCAGUUUGGUAAAUUAAAAAGCAUUGUUGUGAUACAGUCUCAUUUAUGGCAGUUAAGAUCAUUACCUUUUAAACUGCAUAAUUGAGAAAAGCUGUCACAAAUCCUUCGUGGAAAGAGGUGCAAGUUAAAGCUUCAACAUUCAAAGGAAGAAGCCUCCUUCCUUCCCUUUCUUGGAACAGCUGCAAGAGGCUAGAGAUGUUGGCAUCCGAGUUAUGAAGAAACGUGAAGGUUUUGGAGAAGAUGAAAAUUCGAGAGAGAAGAAGGGAGAGAGAAGAGAAGGGGGAGCUCCAGUAUGAACUAAUGCAAAGUGAAUAUACCUCUAUUGAAAAGUAGAGGAAAGAAGGUCUGAGGGAAAUAUAAAUGAACCAUAAAUGUGGGAUGCUCUGAAACUGCUGAGGGCAUAUGACUGGAGAAGGACAAUUACGACCUAAUGCUGAGAAGCGACCUUAAGCUCAACGUAGGAAAGAACUCAACAAUUCCGAGAGACCUGUGGUGGGAAGUGAAAAUAGAAGAAACCAGUGAAGAUACUGACCACCAGCAUCAGGGCUAGGAGGGUUGCCUGUGACAAAAAAUGGCAUAAGCAUUGAGAGAGCUUAGACAAGAUUCUGUCAAGCCAAAGACCAUAGGACAAUAUACUUGUCACUUCACUCUUGAAGAUAUAAUUUAUAUCCUAAUAAUCUCUUUUAUUGUAGUAAAAGUAAUUGGACACUUGAAAGGACUGUGUGGGCUAGAUCCCCUAGACAUGCUGGGUGUGGUGAAUGGCCAGAGUUGAAGGAAAGAGCAAAGUUCAGAGACACGUCUUUGGAGAAGAAAGCUACCCCCCUUUAAAAAAAUCAUCUGGUGGCUGCUGGAGUGUAUCUGGGAACCUGACCAAGAAAACCAUGGAUCAGAGCAGAUUCAAGAAAAAGUAAUCUGCCCAGUAGGAGUUUGUAGAAGCCAUCAGUAAAAACGAAUGCUAUCUGCUAAGGAUAUCUAUACUUUGGAUUUGGUCAUUAGUUGACCAGGUGGUUAAUGUUUCCUCAUCUUCUCAAAAGGUAGGAGAAGAGAGCUAGAGAGAGAGCACAAGUAAGCAGAGCGGCAGGGAGAGGGGGAGAGAGAGAAGCAGGCUCUCCGCCGAGCAGGGAGCCCGAUGUGGGGCUCGAUCCCAGGAACCUGGAAUCAUGACCCAAGCCGAAGGCAGCCGCUUAACCGACUGAGCCACCCGGGUGCCCCGACAUACUAGAUUCUUAAGCAAAAUAUCAGAUUUUAAAAAUUUAUUUGAGAGAGGAGAGUCUCGGAGAGCGGGAAGGAGAAGGGGAGAGAAUCUGAAGCAGACUCCACGCCAAGCUGAGAACCGGACCUGGGGCUUGAUCCUGUGACUGCCAUGAGAUCGUGACCUGAGCUGAAACCAAGAGUUGAAUACUUCACCGACUGAGCCACCCAGGUGCCGAUCCUAAGAGCAUUCUAACAAAUGUUCUACACUCGUAACUCUAUCUCAGAUUGCGCUUCUUGAAAAGCCACCUAUGACACCUUCUCGAUCACAAAUGGAAAUCUUUGAUGAUGUACUUUUGAGUAUGGUUCAUGCUGGAAAGAAAAAGGAUGGAUUCAAACUAAAAAAAAGAAAAAAAAUUGGCCCAACAUCAGAAGAUUGGAAAAUGAAUAUACAUUUAUAUGUUUUGAGUUAGAACAAAAUAUUCAAGAUGACCCUUGGCACCAAUUAGCUACUGUCAUCCGUGUGUGGAAGGAAGUCUGCUCUGUAAAAUCAUUGGAUCCUAUUUAUGUUGAGUACAACUGACCUUCAGGAGAAAUGUUUCCGAAGAGACAAGAAACUGUCUUCUGGUUUUGGCUCUGUUGGCUUUGCACACCUGUUUUGCUCACUCAUUGAAUUCUGUUGGAACAUUGGAACUCUACCUUUUUGGAGCUCUGGCAGAGAUCUCAAAGGAAGGAAAUUUGGCAGGGUGGAGGAAAACGUGGGUUUUGAAGAUGGGAAGACCUGGUUUUUGAUGUUGUCUCUGCUAGGUACAUCACAAGAGUGUUAGUGAUGAGUAGAAUUAGUGAUGAUGUGUGAUGUGUCCGGCAACUUUUUUUUUAGCAUGAGGUAGAAGCCCAAUAGGAGGUAGCUAUUAUGAAAAAUAGUCCCAUUUCUCCCAUUUCACCUCCCUGAUUUUGCAGUUUUAGCUCCAUUCAUUCAGAAGUCAUAAGUGGCUUGAUUAUCUCUCAUUUCCCUCAUUUGACUGUGGCUGUGGGAGAAUGAAUGGACAAUGGAAAAGGGUGAGAAAAACUGUGAAGGACAAUGGGAUAGUAGCAGACUCUUAGCGGUAUAUUCGUUAAGACAGACUUUUCGAAGGCUUCUCACAUAGGGAAGUAUGUUUAAUUUAACCCAGCAAACACUUGUGUUCCUCAUACAUUUAUUAUUCUGAUCACAUGGAUAAGGGGUCACUAUGAUUAUUACAAGCUUGGGUGAAGCUUUCCUAUGCUGCUUUGAGGAAGGAGCCUUGACCUGGUUAAAGUGAAUCUACUUUGAUAAAUCAAAAACAUUUAUUAAAAAAGAUACUCUACUUCCAAGGAUCUUUUCCAUCAACUUGCUUUUUUUGGUUGCCUAUCACAUGGCUACAUAAUUUUUAGACACCAAAUGAAAAGCAUGUGUAACAGAGCACAGAACUGCACUUCUGGUCCAUGUUACCAUGGGUAACGUCCGAUAUGAAAAAUGGGCUUUCUUGCAGUAGAACACACCACUUUAAUUAUUACAUGCAGUAUGGAAACAUGAAUAUUUAUACAAUUAGAAACUUGGAAACAUUGCACAAAUUCUUUCUAGUUGGACUCUUACAUAGACACUUUCCCCACAAUCUGCUCUAUAAACUUAGACCAAAGAUGAAAUAUUGUGGCAGCCCUAAGUUCACUGGUUCUAGAAAGAAAUGCUAUAAAAUUGGUCCCAUGAAAUAAAAUUGUUAGCACAGAGUCUCAAAGUUGCUUCAAUUGUUUGUUUACGUAUGUAUGUAUUUAUUUUUUGGUGUCUAUUUUCACUUGAGCAGUGGUAAGGUGUUUUUUUAUUCAAAACUUUUGUUCUACUUGGUUUUGUGUGACAAAAUUAAAAUCACACACUGGGGUGCCUGGGUGGCUCCGUGGGUUAAACCUCUGUCUUUGGCUCAGGUCAUGAUCUCAAGGUUCUGGGAUGGAGCCCCACAUUGGGCUCUCUGCUCUGCACGGAGCCUGCAUCCCUGUACCCCCCGCCUGCCUCUCUGCCUACUUGUGAUCUCUCUGUCAAAUAAAUAAAUAAAAUAUUUUAAAAAAAGAAAUUAAAAUCACACAAAGCAAGCAUGUGGCUAAUUAGAAUAUUUGAACAGUUCACUUAAGGUUGUAAAUCGGGUCUUACUAUAACCCCCUUUUACGGAUUUUUUUUCAUAUUUUCUCCUUUGGAUUCUAAUUUUUGAGUGCAAAGAUAGAUCUUAUGUAUGUUCAAAACUUAAUUUGACUCAUUUGGAAACACAUAAAACACACCUGUAUAUACAUACAUAAGUACCCAUGCAAUUAAAGUUCAAGACCUAAAUCUUCUUAAAAUUUUACAACAUAGGAUGCCUCUAGCUUGUCCUCAUAAAAAAUUGUGCCUCUGCUAAGGGUUUCAUUUUUACAUUUCUUAGAUAAAAGUAGCCAGAGUUUGAUUCUCUGCUAGAUUCAUGUGUUAUUUAUUUAUUGAUGUGAAAAUAAAUUUACUUGAGUUCUUGUCAUGUUGCUGGACUUUGCAU